rnacentral:rRNA from 1 species
UACAGAGGGUGCAAGCGUUAAUCGGAAUUACUGGGCGUAAAGCGCGCGUAGGUGGUUCGUUAAGUUGGAUGUGAAAUCCCCGGGCUCAACCUGGGAACUGCAUUCAAAACUGUCGAGCUAGAGUAUGGUAGAGGGUGGUGGAAUUUCCUGUGUAGCGGUGAAAUGCGUAGAUAUCGCUCGGAAGGCCAGAGGCGAAGGCGGGUAACUGGCACGCAACUGACACUGAGGCACGAAAGCGUGGGGAGCAAACAGG